rnacentral:lncRNA from 1 species
CCUUCUUUGAGUUUGAAUUCCUUUUCCUAUAUUUUACAAAAGAGAGUCAAAUGGGUUUUUACAAUCUUUUAAUCCCAUUUGAAUAUUUCCAAAUACUAGUACCAUAUUUAAACUCUCCUAUUCCUCAACUCUUCAAAAAUGGUAUUUGAAUUUUGAUUCCAAAGUUAGUUGCAAAAGAGAAAACAGGAAAAAGGAAAAAGGAAAAGGGAAAAGGGAAAAGGGAAAAGAAAAGAAAAAGAAACCUCACCUGCUUACCUCAGGUCCGAGCCGGCCCAGCAGCUGACUCGGCCCCCUCUCCCGCGCGCACCCCGCAGCCCAGCACUGCCCAUCAUCUCUUUCACGCAGCGCCCGUGUUCUGUUUUCCCGCUGCGAGCACGUCGGCC